AAUAUACUUAUGGGGUGCUUUGGAUGCAUUGUCAUCGAAGGCUGAGAUUAUACCCAAUAAAAGCGAUUGUGCAACCUUGUACAAUCGCUUUUAUAUACCUGAUCCGGAUAAUGCUGGCGUAGGGAUUUUAAUUUCAAUAAAA
rnacentral:ncRNA from 24 species